rnacentral:rRNA from 1 species
CGUAGGUGGCAAGCGUUGUCCGGAUUAUUGGGCGUAAAGGGAACGCAGGCGGUCCUUUAAGUCUGAUGUGAAAGCCUUCGGCUUAACCGAAGAAUUGCAUUGGAAACUGGAGGACUUGAGUGCAGAAGAGGAGAGUGGAACUCCAUGUGUAGCGGUGAAAUGCGUAGAUAUAUGGAAUAACACCAGUGGCGAAAGCGGCUCUCUGGUCUGUAACUGACGCUGAGUUCGAAAGUGCGGUAGCAAACAGGAUU